UCACUCGGCAUCAGACCAUGUACCCCGUCUACUACUACAGCGUUGAGAAGAAGGUCGUAGAAAGCAUCGGCGUUGAGCUUAAAAACAAAUGGAAUGAAUACUUUCCUUUCCCAGACAGCGACCAGCCGGUCAUUGUGGUGUUGCAUUUUUGGAGAGCGUGAGUCAGUCGUCGUUUAGAAGUCUAGGUGAACGCACCGCAUAAUGGCGGGCGAGAAUCCUUAUUUUGCCUACUAUGAAGCACAGAUGGGAAGCGGGGCUCUGCCCUACUACCACUCGCGCUUUACUGUGCAAGGCGGCCGCGGUUGGAUAGGGAACCUGUUUCGGGGCGCCUGGUCGUACCUCCGUCCUCUGCUGGGAACUGCAGGGGCCGAAGCGGUGCGCACUGGGACCAAUAUUGUUCGCGAUGUUAUGGCGAAUCCUAGCGAACCGAUUAAAGAAAUUGCAAAACGUCGUGGUCGCGAAGGGUUGUCGAACCUCGCACACCGAGCCGGAGAUUCUUUGUCAGGGCGGGGAGUACGCGUCAGACGCAAACGUUUGGCUCAGAAGCAGCUCGGACGUCGUGGGAGAAGGACCGCUGCAGUGACCGCUCCGCAGUACCGUCGCAACCUCGUCCCCGCCAUACGUGACCUCUUCUCCCCGCCCUCACCAUGAUGGACGGCAGUCUUGUUCCGUGCAUGAUUGGCCAACUCGAAAUCUUCAAAAAGAAGCCGGUGCAGGCCUGUAUUAAGAGGCGCGUCGUUGAGAAGCAUAAGCCGCUCGCAACAGGGCGUGGAUUUCCAGAUGUCGUAGAGUGGGUUAUUCCUGGGAGGCCUCUGCACCUCCCUAAUAUCAAUGCGACAAAAGUGCGCGCCGUCGUCCACAUGAGAGUAAAAUCUACCGGUGCGAAUCUGAACCCUGAUGACGAAAAAUAUUCCGUUGCGGAUUGUACUCUGCAUAGUCUGUUUGACCAGGCUGAAAUAUUCUUGAGUGAGAAAUCGGUGACUAAAUCACCGCAACACUACUCCUACAAAAGUGUGCUCGAUUUGUACUCUACGGCGGGCGCAGACGCUCGUAACGGUCCUUUGAGCACCGUGCCGGUGAUUCCCGAUGAAAAUGAUGCGUCGAGCUCAAACGUUAAUACAAAUCCUGGGUUUAAGAAAAGAGAGGUCCUUUUCAAAGGGUCAAAACGUGUGGAACUCAUAGGGAAACUCCGCGCCGAUGUUUGCAAUAUGGAAGAUGGUGCAUACAUUGUAGAUAAUGUGUCGUAUCGAGUGCGGCUUACUACAAACCGCCCCGAAUUUUUCCUGUGGUCAAAUGCCUCAGCACCAGAUAUUGAAUUUGUUGUAGACGAUUUCGAGCUAUGGACAGAGUACUAUGUUAUCAAUCCCGAGCUGGGGAUAGGCAUCGACCUUGCUCUGUCUAAGCAGCCCGCUCAGUACCAUUUUAAGAGUUCUCAAAUUAAAGUCUUUAUUCAUCCUGCGGGUUCCCAAAAUAUUGACGUUCCUGUGGCGUUUAGCGGAAAGCUGCCGUCUACCGUGAUGACCACGUUCUGCAAGGCAGAAAACUUCAACGGCGACCUUAAAAAGAAUCCCUAUGAUUUCCAUCACGAGGGCGUUACUGAACUGUCCUUCUUUUGUAAUGGUGAGGAGAGAAGAUUCCUCAUGAACAUGGACCUUGAAAUGGGUUGCUCUACUGUUCUCCACACCCUUUAUUCUGAGCUGGGGCUCGAAAUGGAGGAAGCAGCAGGGCACGCCUUCACGAUGCCUAUGAUGAGAAAGGGGCGGUUCGCCUGUGCUGUGGACCUUACUAUUGAUCAUUCGGGACGGGGGCCUUCCCAGAACAUGGAUCAGUAUGGGACAGUAAGGCUCCAAGGUCGGUUUAGUACCGCACCCGCCACGAGCAUUUGUAUUAUUAUGUAUGCUCAGUUUGAUUCUACGCUGGAGAUUACUAGUGCGAGGGAAGUCAGUGUAUACUAAACCAUGAGAGACUUCAAAUCCCCUCUGACUACGCUUGAUGUGUUGGGCGUGGCUCGAGCACACCCCGCUCUAAAGAGGGUGCAUGUAGGAACGUACCCGCUGGACGCUCUGCCCGAUUUAACUGUAACGGGUCGCCCCCGACAUUUAGUUUUUAAUUUGUCUCCUUCGACUAUUCCACCCGGUUCUCACUGGGUUUCUAUAUGGUUAAGCGGCGACACGACAGCUGAGGUUGUGUGCAGCCUGGGUCAACGGCCGACAGCGCCAGAAAUUUUGAAUUUCCUUCGACGACACGCGAGCCGAGUGGUGUUUAACACUACACGCCUCCAGGCUCGAAAAAGCGCCGCGUGCGGACUGUACUGCCUGAGUCACGGUCUUGCACGUGCGCGCGGAAUAAAUUUGGCAACCUGGCUGAGCAGAUUUACGAAUUGUCCUCGACAAAACGAUCAAAUUGUAUAUUGUGAGUUUAUGCGCGAGAUGGCGUUCCCCUCCCUCUUUUCCCCUCGGCUGCGCAAUUGGAGAUGUUCUCUUGCGCGCGCUUGCCGCUCGUCAGUACUGUGCGAGUAGCGACCGAGGACACAUCGACGCGUCAUGGAGCAUCAAACCGGCGUACAAGUUCCUGUGGCUGCCGCCGUGGAUUACUUUGACACCGAGGCGCUGGAUGGAGACAUGCUGGACGCCUUCCUUGCGCAGAUUCAAGAGCAGCAGCUCGCAAGGGCCCAUAUGGACGUCAAUGAACUUUCUGGGGCUCCGCAGAAUGAAUCGCCUAAGACAAGAAAGCCCGUGCGUCGUGCUCGGAGUGCUGCCUCUGCGGCUUCCAAAACUGGAAAGUCGGUGAAACCUCGUAAGGCACCACGCUCCGUGUCAACUGUGCGAGGUUCGAGUACUGCAUCGCAACCGUUGCCGCCCAGGCCUCGUCGUCCCUCCUCACUUGCUGUCCAGAAAACCUACUGUCCCCAUAUAGAACGUCUCUGCCAUAUUCUGCGAAUGGUCGCCUGCCACUCUUGCGCUCCAACUCCUUGCUGUCGUUAGCCAUAGUAUAGAGUUUUAUUUAUUUUGAUGUAACCGUGUUUUCAUUUUAAUUUGAGCUUUAUGCGGCUCGUGUGUGUGUGACAUAAAAAAUAUAAUAACUCUGUAAGAAAAAAAAAGCGAUAAUAUUAAGGUAAAUUUAAGUCGUGUGUGAGUGCGUGUAAAUACAGAAAAAGGAUUGUAAAAUAAAAAAAAAAUGUACAUA